rnacentral:snRNA from 1 species
AUGCCCAUUUUGGCAGCAUAUAUUCUAAAACUGGAACAAUACAGAGAAGAUUAGCAUGGCCCUUGAGCAAGAAUGACAUGCAAAUUCCUGAAGUAUUAGGAAAAUUU